rnacentral:lncRNA from 1 species
UUGCAAUCUUCCUGCCUCAGCCUCUCAAGCUGCCGAGAUAAUAGACAUGUGUCAGCAUGCCCAGCCUGGCUGAAUAUUUCUCUAGCAGGAGUUGGGUAGGCAAGCAGUUUAAGUCAAAUGAGCAGCUUGGGGCUGAAAUGAGGCAAGUACAAAGACUUCAGGGAACCGUGAAGCAUGCUGCAAAUAUCAUGGUCAAUACUAACCUCUGAGUGCUGGAGAGGUGCACAGCUAACUUCCAAUAAACCCCAAGAGGCUAUGGGAUCAGUCAUUACUCCAAUCCAACUCAUAGGCAGAUGCCUUUGUUACAGGGCGUAAUAAUCAAGAAAUAGCUGCCAAGAGCAUUCCUGACAUGUUCAUUGAGCUUCACGUAGCAGAAACCACUAAACGGGUCCCAUCAUCCCUAUCCCCUUCACCUUUUAGUCACAGAACCCUCUGAGCUGUAACUGGGCUAUGACUGCCCAGAUAAAAGGCUCUAUAUCCUAGCAGCCCUUUU